UACGGGGGGAGCAAGCGUUGUUCGGAUUUACUGGGCGUAAAGGGCGGGUAGGCGGCCACCGCAAGUCAGUUGUGAAAUCUCCGGGCUUAACCCGGAAAGGUCAACUGAUACUGCGGGGCUAGAGUGCAGAAGGGGCAACUGGAAUUCUCGGUGUAGCGGUGAAAUGCGUAGAUAUCGAGAGGAACACCUGCGGCGAAGGCGGGUUGCUGGGCUGACACUGACGCUGAACUGAGAAAGCUAGGGGAGCAAACGGG
rnacentral:rRNA from 1 species